AUGUAUCUAGUAUGGAAGAUAUUGGGAACUCUUGGUCGUUAUGUUGACAAUGAAAGCAUACCUCUCAAAAUUAUUUUCAUCUCUGUUUUAAAGCUUCGAGCUCUGGCACCUCUGCAAAUCCCUGCUUCCCUCCGCGAAGGGCCUAUCUUUUACUUUUAUGCAAGAGUCAGUAGUAUUCCUUCUCAUUCCAACCUACUUUUUGGUUGGCAAGCUCAUGUGAUGGGGAAAGAUCUAAGCAUAUAUGGCCAUUCAAAUAUAUUUGAUCAUGAAUUAUUAUUGUUGACAAUUAUGUAUAUGAUAAAUAAGUUGGGAGGCGAAACAUUAAGCCCCUAUCUUUCUCCAUGUUCGAUGGAUGCUAUUUGUUCUAAAAAUAUGCUCUGA
rnacentral:rRNA from 1 species